CUUUUAUUUUUUAACCCAGGUGUGUCUAUUCUAAAUCGUGAAUUAAGACUGCUGAUGAACUCAAGUUUUGCUGAUUCUGGUUGACUGAAUGUUCGUAUGGCCCCACAUGUUGAAAUCGUAACCUCCAGUGUGAUGGUGAUAGGAGGUGGGGCUUUGGGAGGUGAUUGGAUCAUUGAUCCUCCUGAAUGGGAUCAGUGCCUUAUAAAACAGAUGCCAGAGAGCUCUCUUGUCCUCUCCACCACAUGAGGACACUUGAGAAAAUGGCCAUCUGCAACCCAGAAGGGGGCCCUCACAGAAUCCGACCUUGCUGCCACCCUGACCUUGGACUUCUAGCCUCCAGAACUGUGAAAAGCUGUGAUCAAAGAAAGAGAUGUGACAACAGAAGAAGAGUCAGAGAGAUGCUGGUUUUGCAGAUGGAUGAAGCGGGCCAUGAGCCAAGGAAUGUGGGAAGCUUCUAGAAGCUGGUGAAGUGAGGAAAUGCAUUCUUCCCUGUGGUCUGCAGAAGAAUGCAGCCCUGCCGAUGCCUUGACUUCAAGACUUCUGACCUGCAGAACUGUAAGGCUAUUGCAGUGAUUUUGGAAUCCAAGAAAAUAAAGUCUGUCACUGCU